CAGCGACUUGUGGUGAGUGUAUAAAAAUCCUGCCCGGGCUCAAUACGACGUAAUUUUGCUGGUGUUAUUGGUAACUCUAGUGCGUACCGUUUAACUACACGGAUAAAACCAGAUAUCGACAUCAUCAGUGGGUUACGCAGUCUUGCACAAUGUCAGAAUUGUUUCCAUCGGAUGUUCCAAAACAUGAUGAUAUCAGUAACAAUCAGAAUCUUGACAUAGAAUAUUUGGAUGCCGAUUCGCGAUUCGUUCACUGGGCUGACAAUGAAAUUAUACAAUUGCUACAGUCGUCCAAAGUAUCAACGGAAGUUGUUCAGAAGUUCGUGGUCAACGAAUACAGUAUUUAUAAUAUAGAGAAGCAUAAAUCUAAUGUAGCAAACAUAAACGUUUUGCACAACAGAUCAAACAUUACGGAAUAUUCACGUAUGUGCAAUUAUUACAAUGUCAAUAUAGAUAUGGA